rnacentral:rRNA from 1 species
GAUGAACGCUGGCGGCGUGCCUAAUACAUGCAAGUCGAGCGAACGGACGAGAAGCUUGCUUCUCUGAUGUUAGCGGCGGACGGGUGAGUAACACGUGGAUAACCUACCUAUAAGACUGGGAUAACUUCGGGAAACCGUAGCUAAUACCGGAUAAUAUUUUGAACCGCAUGGUUCAAAAGUGAAAGACGGUCUUGCUGUCACUUAUAGAUGGAUCCGCGCUGCAUUAGCUAGUUGGUAAGGUAACGGCUUACCAAGGCAACGAUGCAUAGCCGACCUGAGAGGGUGAUCGGCCACACUGGAACUGAGACCCGGUCCAGAUUCCUACGGGAGGCAGCAGUAGGGAAUCUUCCGCAAUGGGCGAAAGCCUGACGGAGCAACGCCGCGUGAGUGAUGAAGGUCUUCGGAUCGUAAAACUCUGUUAUUAGGGAAGAACAUAUGUGUAAGUAACUGUGCACAUCUUGACGGUACCUAAUCAGAAAGCCACGGCUAACUACGUG